CGCGUAGGUGGUUUUUUAAGUUGGAUGUGAAAGCCCUGGGCUCAACCUGGGAAUUGCAUCCAAAACUGGGAGACUAGAGUACAGUAGAGGGGGUAGAAUUUCCGGUGUAGCGGUGAAAUGCGUAGAGAUCGGAAGGAAUACCAGUGGCGAAGGCGGCCCCCUGGACUGAUACUGACACUGAGGUGCGAAAGCGUGGGUAGCGAACA
rnacentral:rRNA from 1 species